UACGAAGGGGGCUAGCGUUGCUCGGAAUCACUGGGCGUAAAGGGUGCGUAGGCGGGUCUUUUAAGUCAGGGGUGAAAUCCUGGAGCUCAACUCCAGAACUGCCUUUGAUACUGAGGAUCUUGAGUCCGGGAGAGGUGAGUGGAACUGCGAGUGUAGAGGUGAAAUUCGUAGAUAUUCGCAAGAACACCAGUGGCGAAGGCGGCUCACUGGCCCGGUACUGACGCUGAGGUGCGAAAGCGUGGGGAGCAAACA
rnacentral:rRNA from 1 species